GAGCAACUAACACUGCUAACUAGAACCUGGAGGGGCGUAAAACAAGAUUGAGUGGGUCAGUAAAACAAAGCUUUUCAGAAAUAUUUCAUUUAAUAACACUUCUAACCCCUCACUGUAAAACCUGUAUACUUUCCCAGAAAAAAUAGUAUAUAUAUAACCAUAAAUAACAGCAAAUAACUCAAAUCACAAGUCUUUAACACUUUUCAGAAAAUAUGCCAUGAUAUGCUUCAAAACAUAAUAAGGAUGCAUCAAUAUAACAGGUGAAAUAUGGAAUCAACCGGAGACCCUGCAGUUGUCUUGUACGGCUAAUUCUAUAGCUCAAUAUUCAAUCCAGCCGGAGUUACCAACUGUGACCUGUACGACACUACUUUGCACACAAAUCGGAACUACAUAAAGUAGUAUGUACGACAAGAAUGGUGUAAGAAUACGCUCUAGUGCUUCUCUCAUCAACAGCUGUAUAAUAAUCUAAAGCAACCUACAAGUCGGAACCACCUCUCAUGGUCUGUACGACACGCCGGAACCAUCUCUAGUGGUCUAUACGACAUGCACCUACUUGGAUGCAAGGUGAGCAUGUGGUGCGGGGUGAAUAAUACAAGCACUAACACCGGGGUGCAGGUUAUGAGCUCUCAACAUAAAUCACAUCAAACAAUAACUAACUCACCUGAUACUCACCUGUGCGUCCACAGCACCAUUUCACAUAUAUGCAUCAAAUACUAGUUCAAAUAUUUCAUAUAAUAUAUAUGCAUGGCAUUUUAAAACAUACUUUCAAUUAAAUUCAAUUUCUGGGAAAAGUCAAUAGUAUAUAGGUAUAUACAGUAAAUAACUGCCUACUCACUGGUAUGUCGAAGGGUUGUAACCCCCGUGACGCCCUUGAAUGCGCUCGUCCUCGGGAUAGGUCUCACCUAUAUGCGAAACAACUAUAAAAAUGUUAUUUUAAAGCAUAUAGGCAAAACUAGCUAAUAACUUCUCAUACAUUGGUCAAUUUGGGUAUAUGAAUAUACCACAGUGACCUACUCGACGUCACGGACGUCAAGAUAUUUUUAAAAUAAUUUUU
rnacentral:lncRNA from 1 species